UGAGUGUCAGGAGGUGCAUGGGUGGCCCUCUUGAGGGUUCUUUAUGGGCUCCCAAAGUUUGCUAGAGUUGCAUGACCCAUGCAGCUAGCUGGCUGCUGCCUUCUCCAGUUCAGUGCAGAGAGAAAGUGUGAGGAGAUCGGUCCUGGGACUGCACUGAGGUUUUUAACCCCAGGGGUCUGCGGCAUCUGAGAACUGAGGAGGGUGUCAGGCCCAAACGGGACCCCAGUAAGGUUCUGACCCCCGAGAGGCUCAGAGUUGGCAGCAGACCCGAGGUGUGGGCUCCUGACCGAGACGUUCCUGCCAGUGGGGGUGUCUGGGACGGAGGAGUAGUGCGUGCACUGAGGGGCCGCGUGAUCCCCUGGGAAGUUUGUCUGCUGAGUCCACAGAUGUGGUUGGAGGACCGAGGACGCUGCGGCCCGGUCUCCCAGGGCAGAGUGGAGGCUGAGUCAGAGGUGGGUGUCGGUGGGAGGCCUGUGCCUUAGCGAAUGUUUAGUUUCUUUUUUUGGCUCUGGGGAUCGGACCAGGGCCGCACACGGGCGAGGCAAGUGCUCUCCGAGACCCGUGUUCCUUCCCCUGCCCUCUAAAAUCCCCAGCUGCUUUCCGUCCUGCAGGUUCCGCUCUGCAUGCUGCCCGUCACCUGCCUGCCGCCCUGUGCCAGGAGCAGGGAUGCUUUGGCUUUUGUCAUUUCUGGCUUUGGUGGAGGUGUGUCUGCCUGCUCAGCCCAUGGUGGCCACCCCUCAUCUCUGCGCUUGUGCUGAUCCCUGAGUCCAUGGAAUUAGGUGCUGACGUCCUUGAGCCAUUCGAGAAAAACUUGCUCCUGGGCCCAGGAGGGGCUGUGAGGCAUUUUUUGGUGCUUUGAAGAUGCAGGGUGCUUUUGCAUCAUCAUUACCACUUAAUACUCUGAUACUUAAGUCAGUUGUACGCUGUUUGCUUUUUAAUGAUGUCUCGAACUUCCUGCCCCUUUUUGUACAUUAUGGUGAAAUGUGCCGAGCAGGGAGCAACUGGUUGGAAGGCUGUGACUGCUGGUGGAAACACGGAGUGACACAGCUGCCGGAAGACUGUGCUGCGCCUGUUUCUGGGAGCGCAGCGCUGUGGAUGGAAGUGCAGUCAGGGGGCGGUGUCCCCACUGCUGCCGCCCAGAGCCCUGAGCACAGGGCAGGGAGACCCAGCCCUAGAGAUGCACCUUCCCAUGCCCAUGAUCCCACUGCUGUGCCUCGCUGCCCAGAUAUGGUAAGCUGUGGUCACCCACGCCCACUCCUGCACGCAUAUCUCAGAAACUGUGACCUGAAAUGCCGCGUGUGAGUCAGCCCUCAGUGUGGUCAAAUUUGGCCUCUUGUUUUGAAAUUCCCCAACCUAGUAUUUUGUCUUCUUCCUAUACCUCUAGUACUUUUGAGGAUAUGGUCCUGUUUCUCCUGCAGUUGGAAGAAGUUCACUGUUGUUGUUUUUAGAAUUGGGAGCACUCAGAAUGUUUUACCUGGGCUGGGGGUGGUGGUGCUCUGGGAGACUGAGGCCGGAGGGUUCCAAGUGUGAGCUCAGCCCGGGCAACUUAGUGAUUCAGCAGGACGAAUGAACGUGAAAAGGGAUGGAGAUGAAGCCCAGUGAGAGGGCUGUGGAUCUAAAAGAUGGAGCUUUUAAUCAGCUUUCUUCCCGAAUGCGUUUGAAUAGUACUUUACUACUGCCCACCAAGAGGAAGGGACAAACGACUUUCUUCACGGCAUGGAUCUGGUGCAGAGAUGUGAGCGAUGCACCGUGCUGCACUCUGGAGGGUGUGGGGUGAGUGGAGGCGCCCGGGUCACUGUCUCACCUCAGGCGGGUGCUGGGCCAGACGCGGUUUCCCACCGGCUGCGCCCAGUGAUGGUGACAGAGGCCUGUGCUGUGUUGACUCACAGGGAACUUGCUGUGCGUGGCGGGAGAGAAAUAGCUGUUACUAGGAGGAGACUUGGUCCGGGUUAAAGCUUGGCAAUUGAAUAUUUAUUUUGGGGAAAAUGCCAGUAAUCAUAUAAACUUCCUAUAAUUGAGAAUAAUUAAUGAAAGAUCAGUUAAAGAAACACUGAUGAAAUUGGUUCAGUAUGGAGAAAAAUGUUAAAAACCUUGUAUAAAGGAAGCAAAUGGGCCUGGGGAUUUAGCUCAACAGCACCUCGCCUGCCUCUCAAGCGCAAGGUCCUGCCUUCCAUCCUUGGUACCAAAGGAAAAGGAAGCAAAGAGAUUAAGGCAACAUAUUCCUGUGUAAGUAGUUUUAGUCUCAUAAUUUAGGUUUGGAAAGUCAAAUAGCCUGCAGGCCAUGAGCCAAGCAGGUGUCGUGUCACUGUCUCCAAAGUGAUUUCUCCCUGGAGAAGAAGAUGAUGGGCAUCACUGUGAGUUUGGGUUGUCCUUCUUUCAUAUUUUGAGCUGAGGCUUACUUCCAAAGCAGAUGGAGUUGUGCUAUGUGGCUUUCAAGGCAGUAAGAGUCCGAGGAGUUUUGUAGUCGUCGGUUAAAUGUCAGUGGAGGAUAGUCAAGAUCGGCGUGGGCAGAGGCGCCUGGCUGUUUCAGGCUACCAAAGUUUAGUUAGGGUUGUUCCCUCACCUUAACCAAAGUUAUACUGAUAAAGGUCUGUUCCAUAUCUAUUUAAAAGACGAGUGUAAAAAAAUUGUUUUUCGUUAAGUUUUUUGGUACAUCUCAG
rnacentral:lncRNA from 1 species